UUUUUUUUUUUUUUUUUUUGCCUUUUAGGGCUGCAGGUGCAGCUUAAGGAAGUUCCCAGACUACAGGUCAAAUUGGAACUACAGCAGCAGGCCUACGCCACAGCCAUGGCAACACCAGAUCCUUAACUCACUGAAUAAGGCCAGGAGUCGAACCCACAUCCUCAUGGAUACCAGUCAGUUUUGUCCCACUGAGCCACAACAAGGAACUCCCUCUGCAAGGAUCUUAAACUCCAUUCCAAAGUAUUUCCCAAUAUAUGUUCCAAUAUAUAUUUCCUCGUGUACAUUCUUUUAUCUUUUUAAGGCCACACCUGAGGCAUAUGGAAGUUCCUGGCUAGGGGUCGAAUCAGAGCUGCAGCUGCGGGCCUACACUACAGCCACAGCAAUGCUGGGUCCAAGCUGAAUCUGUGAAAUAUGGCACAGCUUGCAGCAACACGGGAACCUUAACCCACUGAGUGAGGCCAGGGAUCAAACUCAUGUCCUCAUGGGUACUAGUUGUGUUCUUAACUCGCUGAGCCGUGAUGGGAAAUCCUCCUCCUGUACACUUUCAUUUGUGUUUAUUUAUAAUUCUUUUCACUGCUGUUUUUGGUGGGUUAAUAUUUUCAUUCAUCUUCACUCUGCAGGCUAAUCCUAUGUGUGUGUUUUGUGUAGAUGUGGAGUGUCUGUGCACAUGAGUGUGUAUGCAGUGCAUGUGUAUAUGUGGAAUGUGUAUAUUCAUGUAUAUGUGUGUAUGCUGUGUUUGGGGGGAGUGAAAUGGGUGUGAUUAUGGUGUGUAUAUGCAUGUGUAUUUGAGGUUGCAUAUGUGUGUGUGUGUAUGCGUAGUGUGUAUGUGAUUGUAUCUGGUGGUACGUGUGUGCAUUGAAGUGUGUGUAUUCAUGCACGGUAUGUGUGUGGUUUACAUUUGGAGGACUGUGUGUGUGUGUUGAUAUACAUAUGUGGUGUGGGGCUAUGACGUGGAGUGGUAUGUGUUCGUGUGUAUCUAUGUAUAUUAUGUUUGGGAGAGUGUAUAGUGUGUAUGUGAAAAUUGUGUAUCUAUGAAAUUGACACUCACUGAAUUUCUUGACUAUGUUCUAAUCUAGUAAAGAGAUAGCUUGGGAAUGUAAGAGGACAUUGCUCUAUUCCUUUUUUUAAAAAAAUCUGUGUUUGAAAUAGACUUUGAAUAUUUAUUUUCAUACACAAAGCAGUUAUUUUUGUUCAUAGCCAAAGGCAGCCAUCUUGGACUUUUGGGACAAUGCCCAAAAUAAUAUUUCCUAAAAGCAAUUUACAAUUGGAACGGACAUGCCAUUUUUAUAUGUCCAACAAGAUGACAGAAGAUCAUUGAUGCUAUUUGAGAGAGAGAAAAUCUAUUAAAAUGUUUCUGACUGUAGCAACAAUAAAACACUAAUGAACCAGAGGAACAGAUGGAAAUUGAAAAGCAUGUGCAAUGUCAAAACCCAAAAUACAGCGAUUUGUUAAAUUACAGGGUUUGUUCCCCCAAGAGAGGAGCUGCAGUUUGCUGAUAACUCCACCACAACCAGGACCCUACUGUAACACAGCAACGCCAUUUUCUGCCUGAAACCCACAAAAUCAAACUUAUUAUGCAGAUUUGGUUACCAGGUUAGAACCAAACUUUGCUGUCCUGUUUCCAAAGCCUGAACUUUCUAAAUUGUCAAAAGAACUACAUUUUCCUAAUCGUCUCCUGACUAGAUAGUUGCAAAGACUGCUAUAAAUUGCCAUUAGAAAAAUGCCCCAGGAUAAAUGCUGUUUGCUUUUUGACCAUUUGGAAGGAUUUUUCUACAGCCUUUAAAAUUCUUGCAUCACCCGGACUUCUUUGGAGAACUGAAAUGCGUUGUGUUGCGUUGUACCUCAAAAUAGAACCCGUGAUCCAGGAGGGCAAGUGGUUCCUAGGAAGGGUUUUGCAAUUAUGCCAGCUGGGUGUACCAGGCUAGGUAGGUGAUGGGGAAAAAAUAUGGUUCUCUCUGUUCUAAACAAAAGACCCCAGGCUACUUCUUAAUAGAAAAGUGAGGUUUUAGAAGGUUCCUGAGCACAGACAAAUGGGAAACAAUGUUCUGUCCAUUAUUUUAAAGAAGGAAUCUUUUCUGUGUUGAUUUUUUUUUCCCCAGAAGUAGUUGGGGGUUGGAAACCAAAAGGAAAGCAGGGGGUGCAAUGGGAACUGCAAAGGAGCAGGCACUUGCACUGAGUCUAGGUGGUUCUCAGGGCCUUUCACGUCUCUGAGCACUUGCUGUGUUCCUCCUGCCGAAGAAGCAAGCCCUCUCAUGGUCAUGGGAAUGUGAAUGGAUUCGAGCCAUACUGGAGAACAUGUUUCUAUAAUCUACUAAAACUGUGACCAUGCACACUCUAUGCCCAGUAAGUGUAUUUAUCAGUAUCUUUCCUAGAAAAAUACUCCUCCAUGAGCACCAGGAAGGUGGUCCUAAAGUGGCCAGUGCAGCCUUGUGUGUCACAGCAGAGAAUUGGAAGGGAACGUCAUGUUUACCAACAGCGGAAGGGCUAAGCAAUAGACAGUGGACUUAGGUUUUUGAAUUAUUGGCAACACUUUAUAUAAGAUGGAUUUACAGUAGGGACACCACAAAACUCCCAACAUGCAGCACUGAAUUUAAACAAGCAGCAGAACAAAAUAGAAAAAAUCAAAAAAAGAGCAGAUCCUCAUUACUCGUGGAUUCCAUAUUUGCGAAUUCACCUAUUCACUAAAAUGUAUUGUAACUCUAAAAUUAACACUCAGGGAACAUUCACAGACGUGUACAGAGUGGUGAAAAAUUUAAGCUUCCUGACACGCAUAUUUCCAACUGAGGUCGAUCAGGAUAACUCUGCAUUCUUGUCUCAGCUCUGCCAUAUAAACAAGUGGCCUUUCCACGGUCUACCUAGUGUCAUUUUUUUCCACAUUUUUUUGCUUUCUGUUGGUAAUUUUGCUGUUCAAAAUGCCCCCAACAUACUGCUGAUGUGCUGUCAAGUGAUCUCAAGUGCAGGAGGGCUGCAAUCAGCCUUACAGAGAAAAUAUGUGUGUUAGAUAAACUUCAUCCAGGUACCGCUACAAUACAGUGCUGUUGGCUGAGUUCAGUGUUAAUUGAUCAACAGCAUGGUACACCCAGAAAAUGGAGAAAAAACCCACCAAUGUGUACAUGAGGCCACUCCAGAAAGUUCUUUUUUUUUUUUAUUUUUUUUAUUUUCCCACUGUACAGCAAGGGGGUCAGGUUAUCCUUACAUGUAUACAUUACAAUUACAUUUUUUCCCCACCGUUUGUUCUGUUGCAACAUGAGUAUCUAGACAUAGUUCUCAAUGCUAUUCAGCAGGAUCUCCUUGUAAAUCUAUUCUAAGUUGUGUCUGAUAACAGAAAGUUCUAAAGUUAAUGUCUACACGCUAUGAAAUAGAUGGAAUAGAUGCUACAUGCUAUGGAAUAGAUG
rnacentral:lncRNA from 1 species